UCACAAACCAUCGUCAGAUCCAUAAUGACCAUUAGUACACUGGGACCGCAGUGGCCUGUGAGCCGCCUCAGUGGCAGGAUGAUGGACGAUGUGGGGGCCCACGCCCCUCCCCCUGUGGCAGGGCCCAGUUGGUACCCAAAUCCCAAAACUGAGAACGGCCACACCCAGAAGUCUCCUUCGGGUUGACACUCCGCCCCCGCCUCAGGACAGCCAGCAGCCUUGCUGUUCUUGACCUCUACAUAAAUGAAUCCUACAAUAGUUUGUGAGUCCUCAUUUUGAAACAAAUUGGCUAUCAAAGAAAACACCCAAAUGGCUCAACUUCUAUGCUUGCACCAAGCAAUGGCUGCAGUUCAAAAAACCACUAGCUUGAUAUUUCACAUCGCAGGAUGAUUCACGGCGUUGCCCUAGAGCGUACUACAUACAAUGUGCACAUCCUUUAUAAUAAUGAACAGACCAAGCAGUCGCAGCCAACCGCAGCUUAAAUAAAAGCAGACAUGUAUCAAACCUCCAGAGGACUCCGGGAAGAAAGGCUCAAUUCACUUAAGGAGAGCACACCUGCCCAGGCAAACAGGGAGAUCUGACAUACUGGAUAUCAACGCAGAAUUGAAUUAGGGAAGACACGAGGGCAGUCUCCCAGCCUGGCUUUCCCACCUCUCCAGCAGCCUCGGCACACAAGCCCGAACGUCACUCGGGAGGCCAGCCUCCACUCGCACACCCAGCCCCGCUCCAGCCCCAAACACUGGCAGAUGAACUGAACUGCGGAGGCUCACUUCCUUGGUCCAUGUCUGACAGCACCCAAGACGCUCCAGUGGACUCACGAGGUGGAAAUAAAGGAAUG